CGCACCCCGGCCCCGUGUCUCCCGGGACACCUGGGGCGCGGAGGGCCACCUGCGCUGGCUGAGCUGGAAACGGACUCUUCAUUUUUCUUGAUUUUUCUAGUGGCGCUCGAAGGAUGAGCCCAUUCCAGGUUACAGAUGUGGCAGGAAAGGGAGGACCCCUAUGUUUGAAGAUGAGAUGCAUACCUGCCAUGCUGAGGUGGAGUAUAUAUUCUAUGAUAGACUAUACCUUUCAACAGGAUACACAACUGAGGGACUGAUGAACUCCUUAGGAAAGAGACGGCACUUGAGAUAGGUCCUGAGGAAUGGGAGAAUUUUCAGGGUUGGGGAUCAGGGUAGGUGGAGAGAACACUCCAAUUGUGUGAGUCCUUUGUUAAUUGGUUUGAGACAGGAUCUCACUUUGUUCAAAGCUGACCUUGAACUCCUAGCCUGAAAUGAUUCUCCUGCCUCAGCCUUCUGUGUAACUAGGACUAUAAGCACGCAGGUGUGCACCACCGUACCAGGCUAAGUCACUUUAUUUAUUUUUUAAUUUGUUCUAACUAGUUAUACAUGACAGUAGAAUGUAUUUUGGCAAUUGUACACAAAUGGAGUACAAUUUCUCCUUCCUCUGGCUGUACAUGGUGCAGAGUCACACUGGUAGUGUAAUCAUACAUGUAUAUAGGGUGAUGUCUGUCUCCAUUCCACCAUCCUUCUCAUCCCCGCACCCCCUCCCCUCACUGUCACUCCCCUCUACACAAUCCAAAAUUCCUUCACUCUUCCCCACUCACCCCCACACACCUGAUAAGCAUCUGCUUAUCAGAGAAAACAUUUGGCCUUUGGUUUUUGGGGUUUGGCUUAUUUCGCUUAGCAUGGUAUUCUCCAGCUCCAUCCAUUUACCUGCAAAUGUCAUAAUUUAAUUCUUCUUUAAAGCUCAGUAAUAUUCCAUUGUGUAUAUGUAACACAUUUUCUUUAUCCAUUCAUCUAUUGAAGGGCAUCUAGGUUGGUUCCAUAGUUCUAGUUAUUGUGAAUUGAGCUACUAUAAACAUUGAUGUAGCUAUAGUAUGCUGAUUUUAAGUUCUCUGUAUAAACCAAGGAGUGGGAUAACUGGGUCAAAUGGUGGUUCCAUUCCAUUCAUACUGCUUUCCAUAGUGGUUGUACCAAUUUGCCAUUAAGUCAGUUAAUUUAAGCAAAGGCAUAGAGGGUGGGAAGCUAGAAGAAAAUUCAGUGUGACGAUGCUUAAUGGGACUUUGGAAGUGAUGAGGUUGGAAAGAGAUUUGAAGCCAUUAUGCCAAGGGCCUUCCCUGCCGAAUCUGGACUUUAUCCUUCAGGUCCUGGGAAUCCAGUGGGAAGAUGGCAUGCUCUACUGUUUUGGAAAGCAAAUGUGGCUGUGUGUGUGUGGGGGGAAGCAGGUGGGAAAUGCCCAGCUCUUGAACCUCCUCCCCUGGUUUUGCCUCAAGGGGCUCUGACUUGAAAUACUUUUGUCAGGGAACACAAUUGGGCUGAUCAUUAUUAAUUAAUUUGUUUUUCAGAUCAGUGGUUUACCUCUACUUAAAAGACAACAAUAACGCCCCCUCUUUGUUCAAUUCCUUCAGUGAGAAAGAAUAUCAAUGGUCAAUCUUAUUCAGACACAGGAACCACACCUGGAGGCUAACCAUAGACAUAUUCAUGAGCACUGGCAUGGCCUAUUUCCAAUGUAGAAGACCUUGAGGCUCUCUGUGGGAACACUUCCAGCCAACUGCUUUGUCCCAGAUAUGGAAAACUCAAGGUGGGGUGAACCCAGAUGGAAGUUAUAUGAGGGAAGGUGGGGGUGAACUUGGAUGGAAAGGAGGACUAUAUAUAGCCUUAAUACUUUACAAUGCGUGGUGUUUAACAUACAUGUUGCUCCAUGCUCUGCCCAGAACUAUAUAUAAACUCCUAAGCUGGCACAUUAAAAUGGAUUUUUCUGCUAUCAGGCCCCCUCCUGCAUCGUGGGAGUCCUAGCUCUUGCUUAAAUAAAUCCUGCUCCAUUUACUCUU